rnacentral:rRNA from 1 species
AUUGAACGCUGGCGGCAGGCCUAACACAUGCAAGUCGAGCGAGCGGCGGACGGGUGAGUAAUGUAUGGGGACUGCCCGAUCGAGGGGGAUAACUACUGGAAACGGUGGCUAAUACCGCAUACUAUCGGAUAACUCAUAUGGGAUUAGCUAGUAGGUGGGGAAAAGGCUCACAUAGGCGACGAUGCCUAGCUGGUCUGAGAGGAUGAUCAGCCACACGGGGACUGAGACACGGCCCAGACUCCUACGGAGGCAGCAGUGGGGAAUAUUCCACAAUGGGCGAAAGCCUGAUGCAGCCACGCCGCGUGUAUGAAGAAGGCCUUAGGGUUGUAAAGUACUUUCAGCGGGGAGGCGUUACCUGCAGAAGAAGCACCGGCUAACUCCGUGCCAGCAGCCGCGGUAAUAC